UACGGAGGGUGCAAGCGUUAUCCGGAUUUACUGGGUUUAAAGGGUGCGUAGGUGGAUAAGUAAGUCAGUGGUGAAAUCUCCGGGCUUAACCCGGAAACUGCCAUUGAUACUAUCUGUCUUGAAUACCGUGGAGGUCAGCGGAAUAUGUCAUGUAGCGGUGAAAUGCUUAGAUAUGACAUAGAACACCCAUUGCGAAGGCAGCUGGCUACACGAAUAUUGACACUGAUGCACGAAAGCGUGGGGAUCAAACAGG
rnacentral:rRNA from 1 species